UUUAACUGAAGAGUUUGAUCAUGGCUCAGAUUGAACGCUGGCGGCAGGCUUAACACAUGCAAGUCGAGCGGGGGAAGGUAGCUUGCUACUGGACCUAGCGGCGGACGGGUGAGUAAUGCUUAGGAAUCUGCCUAUUAGUGGGGGACAACAUCUCGAAAGGGAUGCUAAUACCGCAUACGUCCUACGGGAGAAAGCAGGGGAUCUUCGGACCUUGCGCUAAUAGAUGAGCCUAAGUCGGAUUAGCUAGUUGGUGGGGUAAAGGCCUACCAAGGCGACGAUCUGUAGCGGGUCUGAGAGGAUGAUCCGCCACACUGGGACUGAGACACGGCCCAGACUCCUACGGGAGGCAGCAGUGGGGAAUAUUGGACAAUGGGGGGAACCCUGAUCCAGCCAUGCCGCGUGUGUGAAGAAGGCCUUAUGGUUGUAAAGCACUUUAAGCGAGGAGGAGGCUACUUUAGUUAAUACCUAGAGAUAGUGGACGUUACUCGCAGAAUAAGCACCGGCUAACUCUGUGCCAGCAGCCGCGGUAAUACAGAGGGUGCGAGCGUUAAUCGGAUUUACUGGGCGUAAAGCGUGCGUAGGCGGCUUAUUAAGUCGGAUGUGAAAUCCCCGAGCUUAACUUGGGAAUUGCAUUCGAUACUGGUGAGCUAGAGUAUGGGAGAGGAUGGUAGAAUUCCAGGUGUAGCGGUGAAAUGCGUAGAGAUCUGGAGGAAUACCGAUGGCGAAGGCAGCCAUCUGGCCUAAUACUGACGCUGAGGUACGAAAGCAUGGGGAGCAAACAGGAUUAGAUACCCUGGUAGUCCAUGCCGUAAACGAUGUCUACUAGCCGUUGGGGCCUUUGAGGCUUUAGUGGCGCAGCUAACGCGAUAAGUAGACCGCCUGGGGAGUACGGUCGCAAGACUAAAACUCAAAUGAAUUGACGGGGGCCCGCACAAGCGGUGGAGCAUGUGGUUUAAUUCGAUGCAACGCGAAGAACCUUACCUGGCCUUGACAUACUAGAAACUUUCCAGAGAUGGAUUGGUGCCUUCGGGAAUCUAGAUACAGGUGCUGCAUGGCUGUCGUCAGCUCGUGUCGUGAGAUGUUGGGUUAAGUCCCGCAACGAGCGCAACCCUUUUCCUUACUUGCCAGCAUUUCGGAUGGGAACUUUAAGGAUACUGCCAGUGACAAACUGGAGGAAGGCGGGGACGACGUCAAGUCAUCAUGGCCCUUACGGCCAGGGCUACACACGUGCUACAAUGGUCGGUACAAAGGG
rnacentral:rRNA from 1 species